rnacentral:hammerhead_ribozyme from 1 species
GCGCAACUGAGGAGUCCCAUACCAGGACGAAACGGCCGUCCAGUGC